AAUCUGUGUUGUGGGCACCUCGGCAAGAGAUCCUUGAAGCGCUCCCAUGUCUCAAACAUUGAUUCCAUUUCCAUCUGCACAAACAACUAUAUCUUAUUGCGAAGGUU